ACGAAAAAUAACGAUACGGGACUCAUCCGAGGCCCCGUAAUCGGAAUGAGUACACUCUAAACCCUUUAACGAGGAUCAAUUGGAGGGCCAGCCUGGUGCCAGCAGCCGCGGUAAUUCCAGCUCCAAUAGCGUAUAUUAAAGUUGUUGCGGUUAAAAAGCUCGUAGUCGAAUUUGUGUCCCGCGCCGCCGGUUCAUCGCUCGCGGUGUCAACUGGCGUGUCCGCGGGACGUCCUGCCGGUGGGCUUAGCCUCUGCGGAGGCGGCCCAAUCUCAAUCCCACCGCGGUGCUCUUCACUGAGUGUCGAGGCGGGCCGGCACGUUUACUUUGAACAAAUUAGAGUGCUUAAAGCAGGCUAAAACAUCGCCUGAAUACUGUGUGCAUGGAAUAAUGGAAUAGGACCUCGGUUCUAUUUUGUUGGUUUUCGGAACCCCGAGGUAAUGAUUAAUAGGAACGGAUGGGGGCAUUCGUAUUGCGACGUUAGAGGUGAAAUUCUUGGAUCGUCGCAAGACGGACAGAAGCGAAAGCAUUUGCCAAAAACGCUUUCAUUGAUCAAGAACGAAAGUUAGAGGUUCGAAGGCGAUCAGAUACCGCCCUAGUUCUAACCAUAAACGAUGCCAGCUAGCGAUCCGCCGACGUUCCUCCGAUGACUCGGCGGGCAGCUUCCGGGAAACCAAAGCUUUUGGGUUCCGGGGGAAGUAUGGUUGCAAAGCUGAAACUUAAAGGAAUUGACGGAAGGGCACCACCAGGAGUGGAGCCUGCGGCUUAAUUUGACUCAACACGGGAAACCUCACCAGGCCCGGACACCGGAAGGAUUGACAGAUUGAGAGC
rnacentral:rRNA from 1 species